rnacentral:misc_RNA from 1 species
GAUGAAGAACGCAGCGAAAUGCGAUAAGUAAUGUGAAUUGCAGAAUUCAGUGAAUCAUCGAAUCUUUGAACGCACCUUGCGCCCUUUGGCUAUUCUGAAGGGCAUGCCUGUUUGAGUAUCAUGAACACCUCAACUCUCAUGGUUUGCCAUGAUGAGCUUGGACUUUGGGGGUCUUGCUGGCCUACGGUCGGCUCCUCUCAAAUGAAUCAGCUUGCCAGUGUUUGGUGGCAUCACGGGAGUGAUAACUAUCUACGCUUGUGGUUUCCCGCCAGGUAACCUUCAGUGAUGGAGGUUCGCUGGGGCUCAUAAAUGUCCCUCCACAGUGAGGACAGCUUUUGAACGUUUGAUCUCAAAUCAGGUAGGACUACCCGCUGAACUUAAGCAUAUCAAUAAGCGGAGGA